rnacentral:rRNA from 1 species
AUGAAGCUAAACACAGAUGGAGCUUGGUGGGUGGUCACCGAAUAUGUCGAAGAACACAACCACGAUCUGAUAAAGAAGUUUGACCUAGUAAGAUUUCUGAGCGCCCACAGAGGAUUCAGUCCUCACGAGAAGGAAUUCAUAAAGUUGCUACAUGAUUGUAACGUCAGUCCAUCAAGAAUGGUCCAGAUACUUUCCAUGAUCCACAAAAAAAAUGGAAGUCUGAGUAGCAUGCCCUACAUACCAUCAGACGUCACAAACCUAAAGGCAGAGUACCGCAGAGAGAGCAGAUUGGCUGACUUAGAAGACACGAUCGCCUACUUCGAAGAGAAAGCAAAAGUAGAUCCCGAUUUCUUCUAUAGGAUAUGAUUGGACGAUGAGGACCGUGUCAGAAACAUGUAUUGGGUGGAUGGUGCGGCAAGAAGAGCCUACAAACAUUUCCGUGAUUGCAUUUCUUUCGAUGUGACAUAUCUCACGAAUAUGUACAAGAUGCCAUGUGCUCCAUUCAUAGGAAUAAAUAACCACAAUACUGAUGGUUACACUUGGCUGUUCAAAACCUUCUUAGAGUGCAUGGAUGGACUUGCUCCGAUGAACAUAAUAACAGAACAGGACUUUAGCAUGCGUGCAGGCAUAGAGGAGGUCUUUCCAUUGGCAGUGCAUAGGCGCUGCAGGUGGCAUAUUAUUAAGAAGGCUAAAGAGAGGCUAGGACCAUUCUUUGCUACUACGCAACACAGCGAGGGUUUCAAUGCUGUUAUGAAGCGUUACGACGGGAUUGUGUGCUGCCACAUACUCAAAAUAAUGGAGAUGCACGCGGUCACGCGUUUGCCCCGCCAUUUCAUACGAAGGCGAUGGACUUGGGAUGCUGAUGAUGCGUUGGGGCCACAAACAUCAAAUGCAGUUUUGGUUGUACAUGAUGACAGACCGGAGGCAACCAUGGACUCCGUGAGGCACGUCGUAUUGACCAAGAACUAUGCUGAACUAAUAGGUGAAGCAUGCAAGAGCGAUGAGACAGCAAGGGUGGCAGAAAAGCACAGUGUCACGCCCAAUAUGCGACCCUAUCUGAGAGAAACUCGAAGGUCCCACCAAGGAUAG